CACUAAGGCUGCUACUUCUAAAUAAGUGAAUAAAUAUAGCAGUUGUACCAAACAGGUUAGCUCAGCGCACCAUUGUUCCAUCUGCAUCUUGUGUCUAUGUUUAUUAAUUGUUAUGGCAAAUGCUACACAUGUUUCCAGUAAAUUCUUCAUUUCUGAUUAAGGAGUGCUGUGUUGUUAUUUCUUUUCUGCUUUAUUUGAUCAAGUUUAUUCAAACCUAAUGAUCAUAAAUAUUCUUCACCCUUUUUUAUUAGUGUUUCUUUUGGACUGUAAUUGUUGGGAUUGAAUGACCCAGUGUGUGUGAUUGUAAAAAGUGUUUUUAGUAUUUUUAAUAUUUAAAAAUAUUUUAUUUUUAAAUAUUAAAAACACUUUUAAGAAUCACUGUAAAACGAAUUUUAAUCUCUAAAUAUCCUUAUUUAAAAUCUUGGAAACCCUUGCAUUCUCGGAAAUUUCAUGAUUGUGAUAAAAAAAAAAAGUCAUAAUCAGAUCUCUUCUUGGAAAAUAAAAAGAAAUGAGAAAUGACUUAUUUAAAAAUAAUUUUAAAAACAAUUCUAUGAUAUUUUCUAAAACAAGUGUUUGUUAAAAGCUUAGAAUAUUUUCAACUAGAUCAUUUUCAAAUAUUUCUUAAAAAUAAUAUUUAUUUAUCUUAUUUUUAAUUGUUUUCCAUAAUUUUAUAUUAUUUUUAAGAGCAAUACAAAAAUUGUUUUUAAACAUCACGGAAAAAAUUACUAAAAUUUGAAAACACCUUAUUGAACAAAUUCUUAAAGAAUUAUUUAUUGGAAAAAAAAUUAUCAAACAUGUUAUUGAGCUUGAAUAAUAGUUUUUUUGCAUUUUAGAAAAAAAAAUUAUUUUUAAAAAUUAGUUCACCGAAGAAGCUAUUAAGAAAGAAACGAGGAAAACAAUGGAUAUAGUUUACAUUUUGCGAAAAAAGAAAAAAGGCACAGGCCCAAAGAAUAUGGUAUGAAGACCCAAACAACGGAUAUAAUUAUUAUUUUUUUAAUUUAUUUAAUAAUUAUUUACAAAAAAUAAAAAAAUCGUUUUGGAAAAAACAAAAGAAAGAUGACUUGUAAAUAAAAUUAAUUUAAAAAUUAACACAAUAACAAAAUUAUUUAUUUUAAAAUUUUAAAAAAUAAAUUGAUUAUAAAUUUGUUUUUUUUUUUUCUAAACUUAAUUUUCACAUAAAAUUGAUAAUUUUUUUUUCUUUUUUAAAAACAAACAAAAAGUAAGAGAUAAAAUUUAAAACUUAAAAAUAUUUAUUAUUCAUCUUAUACGUAAAAAAAAUAAUAUUAAACUAAGUAUGUUUAAUUUAUAGUCAUAAUUAAUUAAAUUAAUUUAAAGAUAAAAUUAAAAAUAAAGACCAAAAUAUUUUUUAAAUCAAUAUCUAAUUUAAUAUAAAAUAAUAUUUUUUCAUAUCAAAUUCUAAACAUAAUUUAUACUUUUAUAAAUAUUAUUAUUGAAAAAAAUAUAUUCCAAUAAUUAUAAUUAUUUUUAUAUAUUAAAUUUAGUAGAUAAAAGUAAUUAAUUUUAUAAUACAUAUAUUUAUAAUAAUUAUAUCAUUGUAUAAAUCCUACAUGUUUUUUAAUUUUUUAGGAUGAGCAAAAAAUGAAUAGAAAGAAGAACACUUCGAUAUGAAAAUCAAUAAAGACUUUGAAGAAAUCCCCCAGUUAAAUCUGGAGUAGUCACAAUGGUCUCGCUUAAAACUCAUAUAACUUUAACAGAACUUCUAGAAAGCACAUAGACUUUCAAAGAGGCUUUUUUUAUAUGUACAAUAAAAACUUAAUGCACAAUUGAAUUUGAAAUCUAAAAUUUCAUUCAAAACAGUUAAACUUUACAAAAACUUUGAAAGAAAUAAAACUUACAAUCUUUAAAGCAAGCUUUACAACAAAACUUUGAGCUUUUUCAAUACAAGGCUAUCUUUCAGAGGGAAAUCUCACUUUUCUCUCACUAGAAUUCUCUCUAAAACUUGUAAUGUCUUACCAAGAGAAGUGGAGUCCUUUUAUAGACUUUUUGAAUGGAUUUGAAGAUUUUUGAAAUCCACGGAUUUGAAAUCUUUCGAAUCCAUCGAAAGUUAAUUGUCUUUUUGUGCAGUUGUCUUUGAAUUUAAAAGUUGGUUUUGAAGCCCACCGUUUUAGUCCACCGAAUUGGAGAGCGGUUUUACUGACUCAUCAGUCUCACACCCACUGAUUUGAUCCAUGGUUUUGAAGAGCGGUUUGAAUUAUGGAUUUGAAUGGUUUAUGAACAUGUCACUUUCAUUAACCCAUGUGAUCCCUUUCGGAUUUAAAAAAAUUUGAAAGCCGCAAAUAGUUGACAUAAUUGGAAACACCUGAGGUCUGCAAGUAGUUAAGACUUCGUGCUUUAAGUUCUUUGAGGAGGAGAAGAUCCUUUGAAAAACUAGGAUGCGAGUAACCCAUGUCUCUGGUAACAUCAUCAUAUGCCAGAUCACGAACAGAGCAUUUGAUCGGUAAUCCGAGUUGUCGUUUUUGAAGAACUUUGAAGACUGAGUUUGAAGAGGUCUUGGAUGCAUCAACCCAAGGGUGUGUAUGGGAGUCCAUGGCACAUGUCUUCGUUGACAUCCCCUAAGAAAGCAAAGGAUGCAGUAUCAUCAUCAGAACCAGAGUCAAAAAACCAAGACAAAGUUUCUGAAGCUUUUUCCUUUAAAAGUUUGAGAUGCUUCUUAUACUCCUUAUUAGAAGGAAAAGAAGUUUGUGACAAAUGAAUAGCAUCAGGAGGGAUUGGCAUUGAAACCUUUGAAGAAGAAGGCUUUGAAGGAGACUUCUUUGAAGAUAUCCAUUGACAGAUAUUAGGAAUCUAUUGUGAAUUUGAAGGGACAAAGUUUGUCCACCAUUUGACUUUGAAUUCCCUUGUCAAAUGCGUGGGAAAAACAAUACUUUGGAACAAGAAGUCGUAACCAAGUGACUACCAUGUUCAUCAAAGUAGUUAUAUCCAUCAAGAAUUUGAGGACAUAAAAUAUCUUUAAUGGAGCCAAAAAAUAGCCACCAUUCUUGGAACCAAUUUGGAAAAUCAAUUUGAUUUUUGAUUUUGAACAUCCUUUUGAAGGAUUUCUUUUGCACUUUUGCAAUCAACACGAAGAAUAAAUUUUUUAUUGAAAACAUCUUCUUGAAAUUUUUGAAUGCAUAAGACAAUUGCUAAGAUUUCUUUUUUGAUGGUUGAAUAAUUUUCUUAGGGUCCACUCUAUAUUCCAGAAUGAAAUCGGACAAUGGAGAUUUGAUUUUGAAAUUCUUGUUUGAGUAUACCACCAUAUCCUAUAUUAGAGGCAUCUGUGUAUAAUAGGAAAGGCUUCUGGGUUAAGAAUACCUAAACAAGGAAGACUCUUAACUUGUUUUUUGACUAAUUUGACUAUGUUUGUGUGUUCUUGUGUCCAAGGCUUUGGAUUUUGUCUAGGCCUAGCAAACAAAGGUUUAAUAGUGGUUCUAAGGUUAGAAUAGAAGUCUGACACAUAGUUUAAGCUUCCUAAAUACCUUUGAAGUUGAGUUUUAUCCUUAAUUUCAUCGGAAAAUUUGCUAGAAAACUCUAUUGACCUUUGAAUAGGUUUGAUAGUACCUUGGUAGAUUUCAAAUCCUAGAAAUCUAGUCCUAGUUUGAAAUAGUUUAAUCUUAGGGGCGGAGAGAACUAAGCCAUUUUCCCUAACAAUUUUUUGAAAAUUUUUUAAGUGUUUGAAGUGAUGUUCAAUAGAAUUUGAAAAUAUAAGAAUAUCAUCAAUGUAUACUAAGGAAAAGUUAGUAUAAGGAUUGAAAACAUCAUUCAUUAUAUUUUAAAAUUCUGAAGGAGCAUUCUUCAAGGUAUAAGGCAUCACAUUCCAUUUAUAAUGCCCAAAUGAAACAGUGAAAGCAGUUUUAUACUUAUCUUUUUCUUGAAGUUGAAUUUGCCAAAAUCCCGACUUCAUAUCAAAUUUUGAGAAAAUUGAAGCAUUAUGAAGGCGUCCUAUAAGGUCUCUCUUAUUAGGUAUAGGAUACCUUAUCCAUUUGAGAACCUUAUUUAAAGGCUUGUAGUUAAUAACAAGUCUUGGAGCACAUUUUUCAAUUUCUGAGGGUUUUUAAACAUAGAAAAUUGCACAACUCCAAGGAGAUUGACUCUUUCUAAUUAGAUUUUUGUCUAAUAAAUCUUUUAUUUCUUCUUUACAAUACUCAAGCAAUUGAACGUUCAUUUAAAUUGGUCUUGGUUUAGUAGGAAUUUGAUUUUCAUCAAAUACAUCAACAUAGGGCAAGGAGACUUUAUGUUUCUUUCUAUUCCAAAAAGCAUUGGGAAUAGAAGAAUAUAAAUCCUUUUCAAUUUGAUUUUUAAUCUUCUCCACUCUUGUUUGAAUAUCUUUUUGCAAAAGGUUUUCUUCUAUUCUUUUGUAAUAUAUUUCUUUUCUUAGAAAUUUGAUUUGUUGCUUUUUCUUUUGAAUUAAAUUUACUUGAUUAUCCAAAAUAUUCAAUUCUUUUAUCUUUGGAGAACUAAUAAAUUUAAAGCAAAUUUCUUGUUGGUCCAAAACAGUUUUAAUUCCUUCUUCGUCUACUCUAAAAGGAUAGAGGAGAGAAAGGAAGAGGGGUGCUAGAAUUAUUUCUUUGUUCACGUCUUUUACAAGUAAAAUACAUUAUUAAUAUAUAUUAUUAGUUAAAAUAUUAUUAAAAAUAAGAAAAAUGAAAACAAAAAUAUUUUUGGAAACCUUUUGUUGAAGAGACAAUUUUUUCCAUGAAUUUUUUUGUUUUUCCUUGAGAAAUGGUUUCUUCCAAUUCCUUCAUCUUAUGAAAUCGUUUGUUUCUUAUGUAUAAUUUUAUUUUAUUUUAUUUUAUUUUUUGGAUAAAAAAUAAAUCAUCCUCUCCAAACACAAUUUAUAGUCUUCCAAAAAGUAGAAUAGAUUGAAUUGUUUUUUUAUAAAUAAGUUUACACUUAUCAAAAAUCCUAUUCCUGAGGCGGUUGACGACACCUUUCUCAAAGCAUCUAAGGAGAACCAAUCAUUGUGUGAUCAUAACACGCCGACUUUAUUACUAAAGGCCUUAAUAAUUAUAAAGUGAUGGUUAUUGAUUAUUCCUUCAAAUUCCAUUUCCAGAAGAGUAUCCAAUAAAUAGGAACGGUUACCCUCUGCCUGAGCAUUGCAACUCUCUCUCUAGAAGUCUCUGAUUGUACACUGAAAAACGAAUCGGAGCUCCAAUGGCGACGGCGGAGAAGUCGGUGAUGGUCGUCGGGAUCGACCACAGCGAACACAGCUUGUAUGCCUUUGAGUGGACUCUCGAUCACUUCUUUGCUCCUUUCCCUGGUACCGCUCCUUUCAAGCUCGUUAUUGUUCACGCUAAACCCUCUCCCGCCACCGCAAUCGGACUCGGCGGACCUGGUAACAACCUGAUUCAGAUCCAUUUCCUUUCUUGCCUUGUGGAUUUUAGGCGGUUUGAUUUUGUGAACUUUUCAGUUGUUUGUUCGUUAGGGAGUACUGUUUGUUCUGAAUUUUGAUUUCCUGCCUCUUAACUUAGUAUUCUUGCGAAUUUUACUCUCAAAAGCGAGCUAACAUUGAUGGUUAGGUUCAUAGUAGUUCUGUUUGUUUGCGCGGAAAGUUUUGAAAGUGAAAAUUUUUACGAGAAAAUUUUUUCUGUUGAAAGUCGAAGUUUUCUAAUAGCUUUGCGGUUAAUUUGUCCUGGAGAAAGAAGUGAACUGAUAUUUAAUUGUUUGCAGGAGCCAUUGACGUUUUACCAUAUGUGGAGGCGGAUUUGAAGAAGACAGCUGAUAGAGUUGUAGAAAAGGCUCGCGAGAUCUGCUCCAGCAAAUCGGUAACUGCCAUAUAUCAAUCAAAAAAGAAAAAUCUUUACAAGCUUGAACCAUUAUUCCUUCAGUAUAGACCUAUGUAUAUAUGUUUGAAGAACAAUAUUUAGGAAAAACAAAUCUGCAUAAGUAUGAGAUUUUUAUUCAAAAACAAAAUUUCAAUGGAAGCAUUUAAUCAGAAAUUACAAUUACGCCACACGAAUUUCUAAAUUAGUUUAAAAUAUGUUAUUGAACGUCUUUUUCAUAAAGCAUGAUGCAGAUCAGAUUGCUUUUCUGAAUAUCGUAAUUCCGAUGCAGGUUACGGAUGUAACAGUAGAGGUGGUGGAAGGCGAUGCUAGGAACGUUAUGUGUGAGGCUGUGGAGAAACACCAUGCAUCUAUCUUGGUUGUGGGUAGUCAUGGCUACGGUGCUAUCAAAAGGUAUUCACUCUCAUCCUGUUUUCCAAAUUUCACACAUAAAUCAUGCAUAAAAGCGUAGAAUCGCAGUCUUUUAGUGUAGUAUAUAGCUUUGAUCUGACAUCAAACUGAAUGAUUUCAAGAAAUUUUAUUAUUAUUAUUAUUAUUUUUUAAUUUAUUUAUUUCUGAUGGUGGGCGCCAACUUGUGUUGCAGGGCGGUUCUAGGGAGUGUAAGUGACUACUGUGCUCACCAUGCUCACUGCACUGUGAUGAUUGUGAAGAAGCCUAAAACUAAACACUAAGGUUGCUACUUCUAAAUAAGUGAAUAAAUAUAGCAGUUGUACCAAACAAGUUAGCUCGUACACUGUUGUUACAUCUGCGUCUUGUGUCUAUAUGUAUUAAUUGUCCUUGUGCAACUUUGUUUCCAGUAAAUGCUUCAUUUCUGAUGAAGUGCUGUAUUGUUAUUUCUUUUCUGCUUUAUUUGAUCAAGUUUAUUCAAAUCUAAUGAUCAUAAAUAUUCUUCACCCUUUUUUAUUAGUGUUUCUUUUGGACUGUAAUUGCUGGGAUUGAAUGAAC
rnacentral:lncRNA from 1 species